GUGCAACACAACUCAGAGUAAGCUACGUGAGAUCUACUUAAAGUUGUGGGGGGUUCAAGAGUUGGAUCUGACCCGACUUGGAAAUUUCAAGCUAAUGGAGUAUCAGAUAGAAGGUCUGACGGUGGGAACUAAGUCUCUAGACACCGACGAGGUGCUGGGGAGGUUAGAUAGCCAGAAAAUCUGAAAUUCCGGCGGGUUAAUAUUCAGGUCGAAAUUCGACCCGUCAGAUUUGGAGUUUUGGCUAAUGUCUGGCGACCGGAAGGACAACUCUGGACUAGCCACAAGCCGGCAAAUCUUCUGGUAAGGGCAGCUGUUAGGUCUGAUGACCGGAUGGCGAUGGGUAGGUGCGAGGGGUGUGACAGCGUACUCUGCUUCUCGCAACUAAUUUUCUUUUUUUAAUUGGAAAAGUAAGGAAAAAUUUCGAAGGACA
rnacentral:misc_RNA from 1 species